GAUGAACGCUGGCGGCGUGCCUAAUACAUGCAAGUAGAACGCUGAAGGAGGAGCUUGCUCUUCUGGAUGAGUUGCGAACGGGUGAGUAACGCGUAGGUAACCUGCCUGGUAGCGGGGGAUAACUAUUGGAAACGAUAGCUAAUACCGCAUGACAACAGUUAUUGCAUGAUAACUGUUUAAAAGGGGCAACUGCUCCACUACCAGAUGGACCUGCGUUGUAUUAGCUAGUUGGUGAGGUAACGGCUCACCAAGGCGACGAUACAUAGCCGACCUGAGAGGGUGAUCGGCCACACUGGGACUGAGACACGGCCCAGACUCCUACGGGAGGCAGCAGUAGGGAAUCUUCGGCAAUGGACGGAAGUCUGACCGAGCAACGCCGCGUGAGUGAAGAAGGUUUUCGGAUCGUAAAGCUCUGUUGUAAGAGAAGAACGAGUGUGAGAGUGGAAAGUUCACACUGUGACGGUAUCUUACCAGAAAGAGACGGCUAACUACGCG
rnacentral:rRNA from 1 species